AGACUCAAUUAAAAUUUAUUUCAAUGAAUGGAUAAAAAACCCUUCAGGUUUUACACGAUGUCCAAACUCAUCUUUCUUCAUUUCCACCUUUUAAUUGCAGAUGGGAGAGAACAAUUACUCCUUAGCAUUCUUGGGCUGUGACUGCCUUGUUAUCCUGGACGGAGGAUGCAGGAGAGGAAGGUCUGUUAGGCUAUUGAUGAUGAAGAGAACAUGGGAUUCAUGGAUGUUGAUGAUGAGAAGCAACUAACCUAUACCAGAUUAAGAAAUACAAGAAAACAUGGGCAUAAGAUGGCCCUUCAUGGGACCAAGCCAACCUGAUUGUUUUGUCAUGUGCAGAUCUGUUUGUGAGAUUUAUAUGAAUCACAUGAUUCACUUAAAUACAACUUUCGGAUGCACAUGAUUCUGUCGAACAGGUUAUGUAGUAUAUGAGAAAGGUUUUGAGAUGAUAUAUGGACCAGAUAUAAGCCCCAUUGGAGUAAUAAAAAGAAAAAGUCAAGGAGAUGGAUGGCUGUGUUUUUCAUUCUAUGGAGGAACAUGGGCUCUCAUGACCUUCUGCACCUAGACAGCUCCCCACCCAUUAACCAGCCACGCAUAUGUAGAUAUUACAUAAAUGGUGUCUCAACUCUCAAGUGAAGCUUCCUAUCAGGGAGGGAUCAUGACUUUUUCUUCCCCUGUGAAAAAGCCAACUAUAUGGAGGCAGUUUUAAAGCCUUGAAGAUGCUUGUGAAGGAAGGAAAGAAGGGUGAACAUGCGUUCAAUAAAUUUUUGUCUGUUUUUGACAUUUCAACCUAAAGGGAGGUAAAAAGUACUGUUUUUUUUCCUUACAGUUUGGUGAUGGUAUUCAUGAGGGGCUUAUGGUUUGGCUCCUCUGCUGAUGCGCUUUACAGUUUGGGUUACAUGUGUGUGAUGGGGUGUCAAGCAAUUAGUCCAAUUUGUAAAAACAGCCAAAAGUCAAACCCUUCACAUGUUAGUGCAUUUAUAGCCCAUUUGCAUAAUCCCAAGGCAAUUCCUGA